UUUGCAAGUAACCUUAUCGCUUCCUAAUAAUAUUGGGAAGAGGAAAGUCCGGGCAACACAGAGCAUCGUACUUCCUAACAGGAAGGCUUUUGAUGGGUUAAAUCAUUAAAAGACAGAAAGUGCCACAGAAAAUAUACCGCCUUGAGCAAUCGAGGUAAGGGUGAAAUGGCGAGGUAAGAGCUCACCGCGUUUUGGGUAACUAAAACGGCAGGGUAAACCUUACGAGUUGAAAGACCAAAUAAGCAGGCAUUGUAGAGUUGGUAAACAUCAACCUCUACUGAAGGGCGGCUCGUCUUAGUUUGUGGGUAGGUCGAUGGAGUUUUUCUGCAAAGAAAGGCCUAGAUAAAUGAUAGGGAUUUUGGGAAACCAAAAAAACAGAACCCGGCUUAUAAACUUGCAUUUUCU
rnacentral:RNase_P_RNA from 2 species